UUUAAUGAACCUCUACAGCUAAGUCUAAAAUAAUUUGUGUUAAUGACUUUCCUACAGAGCCACCAUUAAUGCUCAGAUCAGUGUUCUCAGAAAAGUUAUAUCUUAUGUGAACUCUUACUCUGAAUAUGAAAAAGUAAACUCUUUCUUUCAGUCAAUAAAUAUUACUUCUAACCACCAAGCAGUAGAACAAGUAGAGUAAAGAAGAGAUUCAAGCCAACUUGUACUGGCAUGAAAAAGUAAAGCCGACAGUUGUAUCUUGGUUCAAACAAAACAUUAAUGAGUGAGCACCAGGUUCACCGUAAUCUGCCAGUUUCUUUUGCUAAAAUAAUUUGAUUAUCAUGUAGUAAUUGCCAAGAUUUAUCGGUAAAUUUCUAUUGUCAUAGUU